UACGAAGGGAGCUAGCGUUGUUCGGAAUCACUGGGCGUAAAGCGCACGUAGGCGGAUGUGUCAGUCAGGGGUGAAAUCCCGGAGCUCAACUUCGGAACUGCCUUUGAUACAGCACGUCUUGAGUCCGAUAGAGGUGGGUGGAAUUCCUAGUGUAGAGGUGAAAUUCGUAGAUAUUAGGAAGAACACCGGUGGCGAAGGCGGCCCACUGGACGGAUACUGACGCUGAGACGCGAAAGCGUGGGGAGCAAACAGG
rnacentral:rRNA from 1 species